UAUAAAACCUUAAACGGAAGGGGGAAAAAAAUGGACUGGCAGAUUUAGAGAGUUCCACACCAUCAAGUAGGAAAUUGCCUUUUCCCUUUUUGUUCAUAAUCUCUACCUACCUGAGUCAGAGUAGAACUUCCACACAUGAACUCACCAUUUUCCCUGAUUAAAACUAUGGUAAGUUAGUUGGCAAAAGUUACCAAAGCCAAUGUUUGCAUAUACUAUUUUGCAGUAGUUUCUUAAAUGCUAGUCAAGGAAAGGUAAAUUUUGGGGAUAUCUGAUUAAAAAUGGCAAUGGUCACCCUAAAUUUCCCCUACAAGGAAGGUUUUUCAUUUUAACCAUCUCUCAUGGAAACUGACUGACUUUGAACAA
rnacentral:lncRNA from 1 species